rnacentral:hammerhead_ribozyme from 1 species
ACACGGCCGAGGAGUCCCAUAAUGGGGCGAAACGGCCGUCCAGUGU